GUGGCAGUAGCUCAGUUGGUAGAGCCGGGGAAAGCACACCCCGUGUCGGCGGUUCAAGUCCGCCCUGCUGUC
rnacentral:tRNA from 1 species